rnacentral:miRNA from 1 species
CUUACUUUGAUGUACUGCAGUGUAUUGAUAUUGCGGGUUUUUGUGUCUUCGCACCAGACUGUGAGCUCCUGGAGGGCAGGGACU